UACGUAGGGUGCAAGCGUUAAUCGGAAUUACUGGGCGUAAAGCGUGCGCAGGCGGUGAUGUAAGACAGAUGUGAAAUCCCCGGGCUCAACUUGGGAGCUGCAUUUGUGACUGCAUCGCUGGAGUGCGGCAGAGGGGGAUGGAAUUCCGCGUGUAGCAGUGAAAUGCGUAGAUAUGCGGAGGAACACCGAUGGCGAAGGCAGCCCCCUGGGUCAAAACUGACGCUCAUGCACGAAAGCGUGGGGAGCAAACAGG
rnacentral:rRNA from 1 species